rnacentral:lncRNA from 1 species
GAUGCCCGCGGCCCCUUCUCCACGCCGCCCCCUGCUGGACCCGGAUCGGAGGCGCGGGCUGCAGCGGGGUCCCCAGCGGCCCCCUCCCCCCUGCCCCACCACACACACGCCCCUCCCACCCCAUCCGGGCCCCGGCGCCCCGCGCACCGCCCUUGUUUAAAGGGGCCGCAGCCUGACUUCCAGAGGGGAGCGCGAGUGGGCGGCCGCAGGCCAGCGCGCAUGCGCGAGGCCCAGCGGCCCUCCCGUCACAGUGAUUCCCACGGUUGUCAGGGAAACCACGCCCUGAGGCCUGGCAAACAGGAGCCCUCCGUGGCAGUGCUUGGGUGCGGGGCUCCGAGCUCCAGCCUGACCUCUCCACGGGGUCGACAGGACGUCUCCGGAUGGCCAGGGGAGUCGCAAUGCGCCGGCCAGGAUGACAAAACCGCAGGCGGAGUCCGGGGGAAGCGGCGCGUCGUCCAGCCUCAGGCCUGCCCGGAUGCUGUUGGGGUGAGUCUCCCCAAAAGUCUUGGCCCCGUGAUGUGCAGGACAGGUCCGCCCACGUGUCCGUGGGCUGCUCUCUCCCCCGAGGGGCCUUCACGCCCGGAGCAGAAGCCUGCAGCGUCAGGGGUUGCCUGCGGGGGUGUGUUUCUGUGCCGCUGCUGUGUGACUGCGUGUGUCCCUGUCUCUCCCAUUCUCUCUUCUCUCUCUGGCCCUCACUCUCUGCGUCGUUCCCUCUUUCUGCCGGUUUGUGUGUGUCUGUGUGUGUGUGUGUGUGUGUGUGUGUAUGCGCGCCCGUACGCGUGUGUGUGUUCGGACUUACGCGCCCUGUGCGCCCAAAAGCGACUUCUUGCGUGUCGGCCUGGCUCUGCUGAGCCUCUUUCUGCCUCUGUGCCUGAGUCAUGUGGCGGCCUGUCAAUGGUUUCCGCCGCCGUUCCACUUUGGGUCCCUGAGGGCCUCGACCACGUGAGGAGAUGCGUCUUCCCCGCAGCUGUGGAAAUCUCAUUACCCUUGCCGAGCCAGCAGACUCUCUCCUAG